GGACUCCGAGUGUGAGGGCAUAUAGCCCUCGCUUUUCUGUACCGUAAGGUGGUACAGGAACAAGGACUGGGCAAGACCGGUGCCAGCCGCCGCGGUAAUACCGGCAGUCCGAGUGAUGGCCGAUAUUAUUGGGCCUAAAGCGUCCGUAGCUUGCUGUGUAAGUCCAUUGGGAAAUCGACCAGCUCAACUGGUCGGCGUCCGGUGGAAACUACACAGCUUGGGGCCGAGAGACUCAACGGGUACGUCCGGGGUAGGAGUGAAAUCCUGUAAUCCUGGACGGACCACCAAUGGGGAAACCACGUUGAGAGACCGGACCCGACAGUGAGGGACGAAAGCCAGGGUCUCGAACCGGAUUAGAUACCCGGGUAGUCCUGGCCGUAAACAAUGCUCGCUAGGUAUGUCACGCGCCAUGAGCACGUGAUGUGCCGUAGUGAAGACGAUAAGCGAGCCGCCUGGGAAGUACGGCCGCAAGGAUGAAACUUAAAGGAAUUGGCGGGGGAGCACCACAACCGGAGGAGCGUGCGGUUUAAUUGGACUCAACGCCGGACAUCUCACCGGUCCCGACAGUAGUAAUGACAGUCAGGUUGACGACUUUACUCGACGCUACUGAGAGGAGGUGCAUGGCCGCCGUCAGCUCGUACCGUGAGGCGUCCUGUUAAGUCAGGCAACGAGCGAGACCCGCACUUCUAGUUGCCAGCAACACCCUUGUGGUGGUUGGGUACACUAGGAGGACUGCCAUUGCUAAAAUGGAGGAAGGAACGGGCAACGGUAGGUCAGUAUGCCCCGAAUGGACCGGGCAACACGCGGGCUACAAUGGCUCUGACAGUGGGAUGCAACGCCGAGAGGCGACGCUAAUCUCCAAACGGAGUCGUAGUUCGGAUUGCGGGCUGAAACCCGCCCGCAUGAAGCU
rnacentral:rRNA from 1 species